rnacentral:rRNA from 1 species
GUGCCAGCAGCCGCGGUAAUACAGAGGCCUCAAGCGUUAAUCGGAAUCACUGGGCUUAAAGGGUGCGUAGGCGGGGCCGCAAGUGCUUUGUGAAAUCCCAUGGCUUAACCAUGGAACUGCUUGGCAGACUGCGGUCCUUGAGGUUGGUAGGGGCUGCCGGAACUCUAGGUGGAGCGGUGAAAUGCGUAGAUAUCUAGAGGAACGCCAAAGGCGAAGGCAAGCAGCUGGGCCAAUUCUGACGCUGAGGCACGAAAGCGUGGGGAGCGAACGGGAUUAGAAACCCUCGUAGUCC